AAUAGAUACCCCAGGUAGUCCACGCCGUAAACGAUGAGUGCUAAGUGUUAGAGGGUUUCCGCCCUUUAGUGCUGCAGCUAACGCAUUAAGCACUCCGCCUGGGGAGUACGGCCGCAAGGCUGAAACUCAAAGGAAUUGACGGGGGCCCGCACAAGCGGUGGAGCAUGUGGUUUAAUUCGAAGCAACGCGAAGAACCUUACCAGGUCUUGACAUCCUCUGACAACCCUAGAGAUAGGGCUUUCCCCUUCGGGGGACAGAGUGACAGGUGGUGCAUGGUUGUCGUCAGCUCGUGUCGUGAGAUGUUGGGUUAAGUCCCGCAACGAGCGCAACCCUUGAUCUUAGUUGCCAGCAUUCAGUUGGGCACUCUAAGGUGACUGCCGGUGACAAACCGGAGGAAGGUGGGGAUGACGUCAAAUCAUCAUGCCCCUUAUGACCUGGGCUACACACGUGCUACAAUGGAUGGUACAAAGGGCUGCAAACCUGCGAAGGUAAGCGAAUCCAUAAAGCCAUUCUCAGUUCGGAUUGCG
rnacentral:rRNA from 1 species